ACCCUGGUGGCUCAGAUGGUAAAGUGUCUGCCUGCAAUGCGGGAGACCCAGGUUCGAUUCCUGGGUUGGGAA
rnacentral:tRNA from 1 species